AUCGCUUCUCGGCCUUUUGGCUAAGAUCAAGUGUAGUAUCUGUUCUUAUCAGCCUUAUCAGAUCUUACCAUUUUAACUACAAAUGUCAGAGGGCUGCAGAAGGCGACGAAAAGGACAGCUGUGUUUCGAGAUCUGGCGUCCACUUCAGCCUCAAUCUGCUGCCUGCAGGAGGUUCACCUGCGGGACCAGCGGGACGAGGC